UACGUAGGGUGCGUGCGUUAAUCGGAAUUACUGGGCGUAAAGCGUGCGCAGGCGGUUAUGUAAUUCAGGUGUGAAAUCCCCGGGCUUAACCUGGGAACUGCAUUUGUGACUGCAUAGCUAGAGUACGGUAGAGGGGGAUGGAAUUCCGCGUGUAGCAGUGAAAUGCGUAGAUAUGCGGAGGAACACCGAUGGCGAAGGCAAUCCCCUGGACCUGUACUGACGCUCAUGCACGAAAGCGUGGGGAGCAAACAGG
rnacentral:rRNA from 1 species